UGGGGAAUAUUGCACAAUGGGCGAAAGCCUGAUGCAGCAACGCCGCGUGAGUGAUGAAGGUCUUCGGAUUGUAAAGCUCUGUCUUUUGGGACGAUAAUGACGGUACCAAAGGAGGAAGCCACGGCUAACUACGUGCCAGCAGCCGCGGUAAUACGUAGGUGGCGAGCGUUGUCCGGAUUUACUGGGCGUAAAGGGUGCGUAGGCGGAUGUUUAAGUGAGAUGUGAAAUACCCGGGCUUAACUUGGGUGCUGCAUUUCAAACUGGAUAUCUAGAGUGCAGGAGAGGAGAAUGGAAUUCCUAGUGUAGCGGUGAAAUGCGUAGAGAUUAGGAAGAACACCAGUGGCGAAGGCGAUUCUCUGGACUGUAACUGACGCUGAGGCACGAAAGCGUGGGUAGCAAACAGGAUUAGAUACCCUGGUAGUCCACGCCGUAAACGAUGAGUACUAGGUGUAGGAGGUAUCGACCCCUUCUGUGCCGCAGUAAACACAUUAAGUACUCCGCCUGGGGAAAGUACGAUCGCAAGAUUAAAAC
rnacentral:rRNA from 1 species